rnacentral:rRNA from 1 species
UGGGGAAUAUUGGACAAUGGGCGAAAGCCUGAUCCAGCCAUGCCGCGUGUGUGAAGAAGGUCGUCGGAUUGUAAAGCACUUUAAGUUGGGAGGAAGGGCAGUAAGCGAAUACCUUGCUGUUUUGACGUUACCGACAGAAUAAGCACCGGCUAACUCUGUGCCAGCAGCCGCGGUAAUACAGAGGGUGCAAGCGUUAAUCGGAAUUACUGGGCGUAAAGCGCGCGUAGGUGGUUCGUUAAGUUGAAUGUGAAAGCCCCGGGCUCAACCUGGCAACUGCAUCCAAAACUGGCGAGCUAGAGUAGGGCAGAGGGUGGUGGAAUUUCCUGUGUAGCGGUGAAAUGCGUAGAUAUAGGAAGGAACACCAGUGGCGAAGGCGACCACCUGGGCUCAUACUGACACUGAGGUGCGAAAGCGUGGGGAGCAACCAGG